GCUGCAAAGAUUAUAAUGUCAGAAUCUGUGUAUCUCAGCAAGAUCAUCCUAUGUCUACAACUUAAUCUAUAAUGUUUCUGAAACUGAAUAGGGAGCGGCGGCACUGACUCCACUGAUCUAGGGGUCGGUAUUGACAGUUUAACAUCCAAAAGUGAGAAUGUAAACAUGCCGGUGUGGGUGUGACUGGAGUUCAGGUAGGCGUGUGAACAGUGCACAGGAACAAAUGCUCUGGGGAAGCGACAGGGAACAAUAGUGCCCUUUGUAACAGGCGUGACUCAUGCUUGAAGGACUAUCUUUCAUAAAAGAAAGUUCAGUCCCAUUAAAGGACACCUGAGACAGGCACAAAAAACUCACCCAGGACCACCAAAGCACUGGUCUCAGCUAUGCCAGGACCUGGACUGACGCUGUACUCUUGGGAGUCUGGGAUGACCGCAGAGAGUGGACGGGUAAGACAGGGCUGAGAGGACAUCAAAGGGAGCUUCAUCUGUGACUAGGACACAAGCAGAUAUCCAAUGGCAGAAGCUGGGCACACUGUGUCAUUCCCAUCAGGGGACACAAUCCCCUCAGACCUUUUGUCACAGUUGAGAGCAGUUCAUCAGAGGUGAAGCCUGAAGAUGUACCCCUGAAGAGCUCCAGUGAAGCAUCAUACUCCUCAAAAGACCUCAAGGAUGGCAGCCAGAUUGAUCAACAGGAUGCAAGUGGUCACAGUAUUGCGGAGACCCACAUGUCUGACGGUGUGUGUUUACAGUCAAUGAGCGAUCAGAGUAAACACACAUGUAGUUGUUCACUGACAGUGCACAGGGAACAUGUCUUAUCUCCUCACAAGGACCUAAAAGAGCACAGUCUGAUAUCAAUACAGAGAAGCCACUCAGAUAGCUUGCAGAUUUUUAAAGAGGCUGCAGUUUCUCCUCUCUAUUGUGAAACGGUGUGCGUCCUUUUUGCCAAGGACGAGACCAGGAUGUUUGUGUGCAGUCAUUUCCUUCUUUAGUGUGUAAACAGGCCAUGCCACUUCAGCAGAGCAACACAGUGACCACGUCCACCAGAGCAGGAAGU